AACGAACGCUGGCGGCAGGCUUAACACAUGCAAGUCGAACGGGCGUAGCAAUACGUCAGUGGCAGACGGGUGAGUAACACGUGGGAACCUUCCUAGGGGUACGGAACAACUCAGGGAAACUUGAGUUAAUACCGUAUACGCCCGAGAGGAGAAAGAUUUAUCGCCCUUAGACGGGCCCGCGUCGGACAAGGUAGUGGGUGGGGUAACGGCCUACCAAGCCGACGAUCCGUAGCUGAUCUGAGAGGAUGAUCAACCACACUGGGACUGAGACACGGCCCAGACUCCUAAGGGAGGCAGCAGUGGGGAAUCUUGGAAAAUGGGCGAAAGCGUGAUCCAGCCAUGCCGCGUGAGUGAAGAAGGCCUUAGGGUUGUAAAGCUCUUUUGGCAGGGACGAUAAUGACGGUACCUGCAGAAUAAGCCCCGGCAAACUUCGUGCCAGCAGCCGCGGUAAUAC
rnacentral:rRNA from 1 species